UAGUGACAGCAGAUCCGAGUGGGAUUUUAUGACAUUUCGGGGUUCCCUUAUGCGAUCACAGCGAUGGAGCGCACCCACCUCAUCCUUCACAUCCCUGCCUUCCCCCUUUGGACAUGGGAAAUUUGGAAAUUCACUCCCUGACUCCAUGAAUAUUAGAGCAAUGCAAACUAUUCCCAUGUGCACACAAAAAGGACCUUCAUCUACAUCAACAGCAGGAUAUUUCCAUUUAAACACACCACUUAGGCACAGAAAGUGAAGUUUCCUCCAUUUUUGAAGAUUUCACUGGAAGAGCCUGAAUUCCUUAGCCAACAGGAUUGCACCAGAGAAGAUUUUCAGCUUUGUAGGAGAAAGGAAGGAAGAAUCCAUGCCCUAAAGAACAGCACAACAGUUUCCAGGCUGAAGUCUCUAACAUACACAACCUCCUCUGUGCUUCUGCAGACACAGACCCACCAGCCCUGUGAGAAGAUGAGUGUGUUUACCAUGUUGAAGAGAUCAGCAGCAGAUUUAUUGGACAGAGUAAAGCCUUUGGGCAGAUGAGAAAAAUUCUAAAAAAUCCAGUUUCCAAGCAGGAAAUUUGAGGAGUGAUGCAGAGAUCGUGACAGAAGCUGAAAACUGCAUGCAGAGACAAUGCCUCAGUGUCAAACUUAACACAUGGAAACAGCAACAAUGCAUAUUUUGAGAAAUGUUUUAUAUAUUUGACCUGUUUUGUUGGGGUUUUUUUGUUUUUUUUCUGUAGAGAAAAAAUGAAUCAAUCUGCUCACCACCCUGAGAGAGUGCAGCGACUCCCACUUCUUGCCUGGUGCACAGCCCUUGGGUCAGUGUGUGGGUGAGGAGGGUGAGCCCUGAGCAUUCUCAGUGCUGGACAGGGUGUGAGAGGCUUCUUCUCCUCCCCUGUUCACUUCUGUCAUCCCUGCUCAAUUUCCUCCCUCACUUUGGGUUAAUCUUCUCAAAACUUGUGUGAAAAUCCUUCACCACAGUCCUCCAAGUGGUCAACAACUCCAAAUCCCUUUAGAGACCAUGGAGCUCUGUCUGUCCCCACAUCUCAGGUGAAACACACAGCCAGAAAUCCCCACCCUGCACUACUUGAAGCCUCAAAUAAAUUAUUUUUCUCUUUAAGCAGCUCUGUGGACUGAAAGGUGAGGGUUCACUGUGAAAAUAGGUGUUAUUUUAAACAGGCUGUCACACGUGUGGUGAGGAUGGCUUACCAGCCUCACCAGGCUACCUUGCAGCUUCUCUUUCAUGGUCUGGAACUGGAGGUGCUGCUGCAGCCUCAGAAACCACACAAAGAGAUUAAAGAUGUGAUAGGGACAAGCAGGAGGAAACGCUCAUUUUAUUCUGUGUGCUCUUCUGAAGGUAAACCUCCUGCACAGGUCCAUGAGUUUCCAGAAUUUGUUUGGAAUUUUCUGUCUGUUUGGAAUUUGUUUGGAAGUUUCUGUCUGUUUGGAAUUUGUUUGGAAGUUUCUUUCUGUUUUCCAAAGGAAAAAAAGCACCAGCAAACCCUAAGCAUGGAAAAAUACUCAGCAGAAUCAAGCAUGACAGCAAAACUUCACAAGGACACUGUUAUUGCUUUACUCAACCAUUUUCUCCUGCUCUCCAUCUACAAGGGAGAAGUAAAAGAGACCCAACACAGCUUUGCUACCUCUGUGCACUUUGGUGGAAGCCUGUACUAUUUUUCUCAGUUAAAAUCCCUGGGAAAUGGGGUAACAUUUAGCUCAACAUGUUAAAGAAGGUCCUUUCUAGCUCUGUUCUCACCAGCUCUGUCUGCUUCCGUGCUGUGCAGCCCCUUGUGACUUUUCUCCCUGUUCAGCCAUUUAGAACAUUUAGAUAUUUUAGAGCCUUUUAGAACAUUUGGAUAUUUUAGAGCCCUUUAGAACACUGAGAUAUUUUAGAAGUCACAGUGAAUUCUGAGACACUUUGGACUGAAGAUGGCAUUUGUUGGUUAGAGUGGAACUAUUUAUUUUAAUUUGCAAAGAAGGGUAGAACCAGGAUUCUACCGAUCAAAUCCAUCCCUGAUGAGUGAUAUGUGGCAUUUUGCUUUUGUAGCAUCUUUAAUGCAAAUUAUUCAAUAUUUCCUGAAUAUUUGACAUGAGGAUGUAUUUAUUGAAGUGCUACAAACAAGUAUCAUUAAAGCAGGCAGACACACUAUUAAAGAUUUUAUUAAAAAAAAACCCCAAGCUUUCAGAAUUGGAUUAGAAACCUGAUUUACACGCAGGUAAAUAAAACAAUGAAGAGAUAAAAUAUCAAGUGAACAUCAAAUAGAAUUCUUCAAGGCCAGGUUGGAUGGGGCUUGGAGCAACCUGAUCUAGCAGAAGGUGCUGGAACAAUGAUAGUCUUUAUGGUCCAUCCCAUACCAAACAAUUCUCAGGUUUUAUGAUUUUUAUCAUACAUUUGGGAUAAUGAAAUAAAAAUAAAAAUCUUGGGCAUCUUAUAAAUGAGUCAGAAUAUAAAAAACCUUGUUGUCUGCUGUGGUGAGGUGACAUCAGAGAGAUUUGGACCUUCUGGUGUCCACCAGAGCUGUUCCAGGGGGGCAAAAUGCAUCGGUCAAUGUCCAGGAUGCAGCCCAGGCCUGCUGAGGGGAUUCCUCACUGUGAAACACUGUCCACGAAUCCAACUCAAAAGCUGGAAAAGGAGAGGAAAAUCACUCAAGGUCUUUUCUAUAUAUACAUGCCAGGCAAGAGCAGGGCUGUAACACAAACUGCUGCCUGGUUUGGAGUCCCUGCUGCCAGCAUUUGUGUCAGCUGAGCCUCCCAGGCUGACAGCUGACAUUGCCAGAGAACCUACGAGAGUUCCACCAGAAAAGUGGCACAGAAGGGAACAUCCAAACCUGCAAACCCAGUCCCUCUCCCUGGCUGGCAUAUAUGAGAAAUGCUCUGAGUAGCAUCUUCUGAGGUCACACCUCCCCUUAAUGAGUUUUCUAAAAGUUUACAGCAAGUUUCCUCAGUGGCACAGGUGGGGUUUCAUUGAUCUCCACCAGGGCUGUCAUUAUCAGAGGAUGGGGUUCCAGUUUCUGAUUAAUGAAAAUUAUAAUUAUGUACAGAUAAUGGAGAGGGAGACAGAGAUGUUUCCAUGUUACUUUAAACAAAGAAGAGUUAAGGCCUUAUCUUAACUAUGCAUUGGCACUGCAAUGCGAAAUGGUCAUGCAAAAUUAAUUUUUAAUGUGUUCAAUUUAUAUUAAAAAUUUCUGCAAGUGUGUGAUUUUUUUUUUCUAAGGCUGGAGUGCUACUUCAUUUACAAUAUUCCCUGAAGGUGUUUUUUUUUUAAAGAGACUCUUAAACUGAAGCCAUUUUAAGGGUUUUAUGAGACAUUAUGUGAGCUUUCAUAUGCAAGUUAGUCGUUAAGUACCAGAUAUUAUAUUCUGUAAUAUGCUUAAGUGAUAUUAGAGGCUGUAUAUAGCCUGCAGUAAUGGCUAUUGCUGCUUUUUUAAUUUAUCAAGAAAAUGUUGCUUAAAUAAGGAGCAAAUCAGUGCUUGGGUGUUAGAAAAUAUAAAUGUAAAGGAAGUAACAAUAUUGUUGUGACAUAUUUUGUGCUCUCAGCUUCACUGGGUAGCAAAACCAGUGGCUGCUUUCUCCUACUCCUGCUGACACAUAUGGUAAGUCCCAUAUAUAACAUGCUGGACAUCUAUAAAAAAGAGAAAUUUUACUAAACAGUCAUUGCUCCUCAUGAAUUCAUGAGAAUUUAUAUCAUGCCUCUGUUAUCUGGGUUUUUUUUAAUCAUAUGAUUCCUGUCAUUCAAAGUAGUAACUCACAUUUUGAUUUAAAUGAGUGAAGUCUUUGAAUGUUCAGCCUACAAAGGGGAAUGUUUUUGUUCAGCUGGAUUCACUGGUCAAGCUAUAAAAGAAUAAAAAAAUAAAUCGCAACAAACCAACCCUCACACAGUGAACAAACUUUCUACUUUUUGCUCCACCCUCCUUCCUUUAAUGUAAGAGGAAA